AAAAAAUCUCAUACAAUUAUGACUAAUUUAUUACUUUUUAUUUCAUAACGUUUUUGUCAAAAAACUAAUAAUAACAAUUUAUUUCAUAGCGACUAUAAAUAGCCUAUUGUAAGGUGUUACUUUAACAAUCUGUAGAAAAAAAUGGCAACUCGUACCAAUCUUCUCGUUUUCACUAUUGCAAUUAUGUGCUUUGCUUCGGUUAUGUUUGGUGCUGUAGCUGAUGUGAGAGAUGUAGGAAAUUGCCAUCUUAUGAAUACAUGUAACGUACCUGGAUGCAAACAGUAUUGUGCAUCGUUAAGAGGAGGCUCCCCUAAUGGUGGCAGUUGUCUUCCAGGCACGACUGUUUGUUGUUGUAACUCAUAAGUUUUGAAAAAUUUAUAUUUGAAAUAUCAAUAUUGUAAUAUCAAUAUUUUAAUGAAAAAUUAUGAGUACCAACACUAUGAAAGCAAUUUUCAUGACUAGUAUUACAACA